ensembl:lncRNA
CAAAAUAGUUGUUGCUUUAUUUAGAAACAAAGUACAGGGGGAAAAAAAUGUCUCGCUAGUUACAAAGCACAUGGCGAUGUCACUUUCCACAAAGAUUUUGGUGCAAAGAAUAUAACAGUCUGUAUCAGUUAAUUUUUGUAACACUUAACACUAACUGGAGCAGAAGGAAAAUACAGUAUGUUCUGUUACUGCCGUUGUUUAUGGCUAAAUAUAGGAAUCCUAUAGAGCCUGUAGGUAAAUUCUUGUUAUCUAAGGGAUCAUUCUUUACUCAGUCAAGUCUACGCAGGAAGACAAGGCCAUCAUACACUGUUAAGAUGCCUAAUGUUUGCUGAAGAAUGUUUAGAAACAUAUGACCUGAGUUCACUCUUAAAUAAGUUCUCCUCUUCAAUGUGUUCACAGCCAAACCACUGCCUGCAUCUCAGCUGUAUGAAAAAAAGCCUUUAUAUCAGAAUGUUACCUGUAUGCACAUCAUGCCCUCAUACGUCCUCCUUAACUUUAAAGAGAAAUCUGAAUAUUCAGGGAGGAAAGAGUUGCAGUGAAAUCCAGAGUUUUCCACAACCUUGAAAGAGUGGUUAUUGCGGUUGCAGUACUAGUCAACUGCUUUGCCAAAGAAACAGCGAUACAAGGCCCCUGUGCAAUGCAUUGUUGUGCAUAUAAUUGUGUGUAACAUGACAUGAUUUCUUAGGGGAGAUUUUUUAAUUGAUUUUAAAUAUAAGCACUUGCUUACAUACUGUCUCACUCCAAUUUAUAGGAGGGAGAGGAGGUUCUUUGAAAUAUGUAUGCCUGGCGUGAGAUUAAGAAACAACGGUUCAAAUGUUGGUCCGACCAGUUUAUUACAAAUGUUAAUAAGGGAGAUGGGGAAAGGGGAGGACGGACAUCAUUAAGGAUUGGGGUGAUGGGGAAGGGAAGGCGAGCGAUAGAAAAGAUAGAAAGAGGCAAGAAUUGCGUAAAGCGGGGAUAGUAACCACCAGGAUCCGGCAGCAGUCCCGUAGCACGAGGUUCCGACGCCGAAGGGCAGGAGCAGCGAGGCCGGUCUUGGGCAACGAGAGAGUGCAGGUCAGGGAGGAAGCAGCAGGUCUCAGGUAGCAGGCCCAGGGAAGUCCGUCAGCAAACGGUCCGUAGAGAAGGAUCUGAAGGCAGAAAGCUCGUGUCGUGGUGAGAGAUCAGCCUCCACCUAGCCGUGGUUGUUGGACCCUCUUUUAUCCUCCAUUUUCUGCUGCCUACGUGACAUUCCUGGGUGCUUGAGCAAGAGUCCUGUGCAUACCUCCUGAGAUGGCCAUUUUCCUUGAGAUAAGUCCACACAAAAAGACCGUUUCCCGGCCAUUAGCAGCAGCUUAUCUCUCUCUCGAUGCCCCUGGCCUUGUCCAUCUGUGCUCCUUAGAGGAUUUCACAAUCCUUAGCCAGGACCUGUCCAUCAGUGUCCUCAAGACAAAAGAUUUCUCUGCCUUUGCCCAGGACUUGCCUGGACUUGUUCCUCAGCAAACUUUGAGUCAAUGAUAUAAAAGAAUAAUCUCUUACACAUACAUACAAAAUAGUGCAUAUUAAUGUGCAAAUGGGUAAUCAUUUUUGCAGAGCAAAUAUAAUUUUCAAAAGUUUUUUGCUUGCUUGUUUCACCUUUCCAGAUCUAUCCCAGCAUGAUUUUUAACACAAAUUUUGAAACAACUUAAUAGAAGCCCAUAGGAAAAUUACAAUAGCAGCUGCUGAUUCUUGGAUUCUUGGAAUCUGGUUGAAAUAUUGACCUGAAAACAUCAUGUCAACAGUUCACAGAGUGUACAUUUGAGGAUUUAAAAGUCCCAAGUGAAAAUAUUUUACAUUCCUCAGAAGAAUAACAUACAUUAAAAAAUUCCCAUUCCUCGGUGCCAAAGACGACUGAAAUGUCCAGGCUGAAUUUACCCCAGCUGCAUGUGCUCUUUGUGAGUGGUGAUGGGUUCAGCCUGUGAUGUGGAUGCAGGGAGUGCUCACAUUACCCUGCCACAAAUGUGUUGCAUCCUCAUGCCUUGUAAAGGGGAGAAUGUGGUAAUUGAAGCUCCCACAAACUAAAAAGCUGGCUGCAGUGCAAUUCACUAUUUAUGCACUUCAGUUUCAUCUGUUGUGUUGAGAUCCUACUGGCUAUACUGAUUUCUACUACAGGCAUUUUAGAGAUGUUUUUUAUGCUACUGUUUUGGGAAAGGUACUGGGAAAAAAUGAUGUCCCAGUGCCUCCUCGCACUGAAGAGCUAUAUUUGAUCAAUCCUUUCUCUUGUGAGGGAGGCUCAAAUGUGUCUUUAGUGUGUGUUACACAUGUACUAGAAGUGUAUCUGCUUUUGAGAUGAUUAACAUCACUUAAUUUACUGAUUUAGAGAGAGAGAAGAAUGAUAACAUAUUAAAAACCCAGCCAUAGGAGAGAGAAGAUAAAGCCCUGUUUUCAUCUCUUCCUGUUAGCUUAAACUUUUCCAUCUCUACAAUGUAAGCAGUAGUUUAAAUUUAUAAGGGCUAAUAACUUAAAGGUUAAAGCAUUAAUAUUUUAUGAGAGGUGUUUUUUUUUUUUAAUCUUUGUACAGAUAGUGCUAUGAAAAUAGUCUGACAAGUUAGUUUCAUUAUGAAUUAGCUCUUUUCAGCCAAUUUCCUUUUAUUCGUAGAUCUAACAGACUUUUUUUCUCUGCUUUUACAGGGAGUAAUGGAAAACCAUGAAAAUCUUACUUUUGUCCUAACAUUUCCAGACAUAAGAAGUGAAAUAUUUUCACAAUGUUCCCUGAAGUAAAAUGCAUAUAAGUGAAACAAUACCCAUCAGUGAGUAUUAUGGAAGCACGCUAGCAUUGGUCAAAUGAUUUUAAAACAGAAUUAAAUCCCAGAAUGAACUCUGGAAGGCAAAAUUCCUUCCAUGGAAAUCUAAAUCAUUUGUACCCUUAAAACUCAAGACUUCCCUGUUUCCACAUACAUCUAUCAUAGAAUCAUUGAAACACAGAAUCACAGAAUGGCUUGAGUUAGAAGGGACCUUAAGGAUCGUCUAGUUCCAAUCUUCUUGCCAUGGGGCAAUGUUGCCAACCUCUAAAUCAAGCACUGGAUUAGAUUGCUCAGGAUCCAUCCAACCUGGCCUUGAACACCUCCUUCUUCAUUGGAGAGAUGCUCCAGCCUUCUAAUCAUCUUCAUGGACUUCCUCCGGACCCCCUCCAAUUGCUCCACUUGUGCUGGGGGCCCCAGAUCUGGAUUCUGUACUCCAGAUGGGGCCUCAUGAGGGCAGAGUAGAGGACAACAAUCACCUCCCAUGCCUUGCUGGCCACCCCUCUCUUGAUGUAGCCUAGGAUACAGUUGGCCUACUGGGCUAUAAAUGCAAGCCCACCCUGGUUGAGGCAAAAAGGAAAGACAGUACUUGAGUACUGGCAGCCAUUGUCCAUUCCACAACAAAUACUGACAUGUGCCUUGAAGGACAAGUUCAUGAAGAAAUAGAAGUAUGCAGAAGGAGAGAAGCCAGAGUUAGCAACUUAAGGCAUCAAUAUGCAUCAGAGGAUUACACAAGUAGUGCUGCUUGUCCAGGAGAAACAAACAGAAUCACAAGUAGACCCAAGACUCAAAGUGGAAUAUUGUGCAGUAGCAGUGCUGCAGGCAAAAUGCAAAAGAGAGAGCAACUUCUUGAACAGUGUAAUCAACAAGUUGCAAUUUUCUGACCUUUUUCAGUGAAAAAGUGCUAUAUUACUCUUGUGUGAAAGGAAACCACACAGAGCAGUAACCCUAUCUUCAGUGAAACACUGAAGGGGAUUGCACCCAAGGGAAUGC